rnacentral:RNase_P_RNA from 1 species
GAAGCCCGCCAGGCCGCCGCUGGUGCAAUCGCCGAAAGGCCGCACUGGAGGAACGUCCGGACUGCACAGGGCAGCGUAGGAGCUAACGGCUCUCCACCGUGAGGUGAGGAUCAGAGCAACAGAGACGAGUCCCGGGGGAGUGCCGCAAGGCAGACCACUGGGGGUGAAACGGGCAAUCUCUACGCGCAGCAAUACCAAAUAGGCCAGCGUUGAUGUGGCUCCGCGGAGCUGGCGGGUAGGUAGCACCGAGCCGUCUGGCGACAGACGGCCCAGAGGAAUGGCGGUCACACCGGGGGCGACCCCGGUGCACAGAAUCCGGCGUAUCGGCGGGCUUCACAC